AGAGUUUGAUCCUGGCUCAGAUUGAACGCUGGCGGCAUGCCUUACACAUGCAAGUCGAACGGUAACGCGGGGCAACCUGGCGACGAGUGGCGAACGGGUGAGUAAAGCAUCGGAACGUGCCCAGUAGUGGGGGAUAGCCCGGCGAAAGCCGGAUUAAUACCGCAUACGACCUACGGGUGAAAGGGGGGGAUCGCAAGACCUCUCGCUAUUGGAGCGGCCGAUGUCAGAUUAGCUAGUCGGUGGGGUAAAGGCCUACCAAGGCGACGAUCUGUAGCUGGUCUGAGAGGACGACCAGCCACACUGGGACUGAGACACGGCCCAGACUCCUACGGGAGGCAGCAGUGGGGAAUUUUGGACAAUGGACGAAAGUCUGAUCCAGCCAUGCCGCGUGCGGGAAGAAGGCCUUCGGGUUGUAAACCGCUUUUGUCAGGGAAGAAAUCUUCUGGGUUAAUACCUCGGGAGGAUGACGGUACCUGAAGAAUAAGCACCGGCUAACUACGUGCCAGCAGCCGCGGUAAUACGUAGGGUGCAAGCGUUAAUCGGAAUUACUGGGCGUAAAGCGUGCGCAU
rnacentral:rRNA from 1 species